CCUGCCUGGAAGAAUUGUGAUCCUUUUGAUAUGUGAAUAUAACCUAAUGGGUAGCAGUCUUGUUAAGGAGAUGAGGCAGUACCUGGUACAGACACCCUAUAGUGUCUGGGCCACUUCACCCCACUGUGUCCUCAAGGUAGAGUUGGCUCCUCGGCUCAGCAAAAGCUCUAUGGUGCUGCUGUGGCCACACUCCACAGCAAGGUGCAGAGGUGUCUUGUGGAGCCAGCCAGCAGCAUUGACCUGUGCACCCCUGUCCAGGAGAUGACUGACAAUUUCUACAUGGCCUCCCCGAGCAGCAUAGUGCAAGGGUGUGAGGCCCAGGGAGUCUCGAGAAUCUACCUCAAUGCCGUUGGCCACCAGCAGCUGUGUAACAGGAAUGAAUGGGGUGGAAUCUAAGGAAGUACCAAAUUCUCAGAUUAAAUUCAACACUGUGCAAAAGCUGUUGCCCUCUGGUGCCCCGUGGGCCUCACUGAUCUUGAGCUCCAACCAAAUACUUAAAUAAAUACUUGUUGCCAGGCAUGGUGGUGGCCCACACCUUUAAUCCGAGCACCCAGGAGGCUGAGGCUGGAGGAUCUAUGUGAGUUCAAGACCAAGCUGGUCUAAAUAGAGAGCUUCAGGCCAGCCAGGGCGACAUAGUGAACUGUUGUCUCAGAAAAGCUAAACAUUCACCCAAUUCAUUGCUAUGGGCCACCAGAAUAAAGUGGGAUUCCCAGGUAUGGGAGACCUCCUCCGGUACCAUUCAGUAGGGAAGUUUUAUAAAGAGGACCCAACUGAGAACAUGCUCAGCUCCCAACCCCUCCACCCUGCCCGCCUAUGCUUCAGCAUCUUUCUACCUUGUUCCUCUCCUCCCCAGAGCCUAUGGAAGCAAGCGUAGAAGACAAAGCCCUUGGGCUUCUGGUACAGUCAUUGAAGGUGAAGGCUGGACCUACUUGGUAGUGGCCUAAGCCAGCUGCCAGGCCAAGCGCUGUAGCUCCUGUGUUGUCCAGGGCAUCCACCUUUGCCCCCAGUGCCAGGAGAAGCCGCAAGGCUGAUGCACUUCCAGCUACCGCUGACACCAGCAGGGUGCUGUCCAGGUCUAAGCUGCCUCUAACAGUCAGCAGCUCUAGUACUGGCAGUUGCCUGCACGCAGCUGCCCAGUGUGUGGCAGUCCAGCCUCUUCUAUCUUUCACAGCAGGGCCCAAACCUGGUGCGGCCAUAAGGCAUGUAGCCAGUAGUGUACGGCCCAGCGCAGCUGCCCAGUGCAGGGGCGUGAGGCCCAUUUGAGAGCAUGCCACUGCCGAGGCCCCACGCCGCAGCAAUAGUUCUGCCACUUUUGAGUGCCCAUGCCAGGCAGUCACGUGCAGUGGUGUGUGCCCUUUGUUGUCAACUGCACCCACCAGGGACCCUCGCUGUAACAGUAGGCGUACAAGAGGCACGUGGCCUCGCAUCACAGCCAGAUGGAGUGGAGUCCGACCUGUGUGAUCCCUGUGGGGUACGAAAGAAGUCAGGAAGCAGCUUAGACGUUUACUCCCAACCAGAGAAAGAGUCUGGAGCUAGUCAUGAGGCUUACCUCUCCUCCACACUGGCACCUUGCCUCAGCAGCUGCAUCACCAAGCUGGGAGCACCCCACCACACUGCCUGGAACAGGGUACUCCAGACCUGGGAGCUAAGAGGUUCCUCUGUCUUGUCUGCUGGAGCCUCCUCCCAGACCAGCUCCAUCCACUGCAGUUCUUCCUCAGACCUGCUGGAAUCCAUCUGGAGAGAGAGCAUCUACCCUGAAGCCUCUGACUGGUUCACCCUACCUGUCCCAGGUCACUAUAUCACCAACUUCCAGGGAGACUCAGAUUCUAAUUCUAGGCUACCUUCAAUCUGGUAACCCGUCUCAGAAUAAUUUUUCUUGUAGCUUGAGAGGUGGGUGCUACUCCUGGGAGGUUAGAUUGAAAGUAGAGAGUGGGCAAAUCGCUGAUGCUUCCUUCUGGGUCAUGAUGAGGCCACCUGACACUGUUUAUCUAGUAAUUUGAAGGGAGUCUCUGCCUGCCAGGGAGCAGCCCCUGCCUGAGCACCCUUGCCCCCAGCAGGCUACUGAAGCUCUUGGCCACACUCCCAGGAACAAAGGCCAGAACAUGUUGGGAAGGACAAGCAGGAACAUGCCCUGUAUGACAGCACCUCCUUCUUACCUUCCUCCAAGUAACACAAACUUCAAACUUUGAUGUGUUCUGACUUGCCCGCAGGCACCUUGAGACCCACCUGCCUCCAUCUCAACCUGGGAAUGGAAUAAAUAAGGUUCUAUCCUUU